UGAUCUCUUUUCAAUUCUUGUUUGGACCCGGUCUUUCCAAAGAAAAUGAUUAUUAUUUUGAACAAGUAUAAUUGGAGUAAAUACCAAACGAGCAGGUUCCACCGGUAAUUCCCCAUUGCAAACGAUCGCACCACACAUCCAAUGUUUAAAGGCAGUUACAGAUCAUUUCACAUUCAGCGCUUACGUUGUUCACAACCCAAAACGUAGUUAGGUGUCGUGUUGCUUAAAAAACAAAAAUGAGAUUCAUCAUCGGUGUAGUUUUCUGUUUGGCUUUGGCAUUAGCCAUUGUUGGUGCCCAACGAGCUAAUCAGGAGUAUAAAGAAUGUGGCUCAGCAUGUCCACCAACAUGUGAGUCAAUCAAACGGGAGCCCAUGAUGUGUAUCGCUCAGUGCAAAAGUGGAUGGUUCUGUAAGAGUGGGUACGUGCGGAAUGCUGCUGGAAAGUGUGUAAAGCCAUCUCAGUGUCCAAAGUGAUUGUUACGAUCAUGAUCAUUCGGUAAUGAUUCGUUUCAGGUAAUCGGCAUAAUAGUUCUCGAGAGGUUGAAUUAAAAUUGAUCUUUAGUUUGAUUCUCAAUAUUUCAAAUCUAUGCUAUAACUCCUCAAUGUUCUCCUCCUAAAGCGCAAUGCUUUUGUAUUGUUGAAGUCAUACUCUCAGUGCAGUUCAAAAGAUAUUGCAUUAAUAUGCCUCACUAAUCAAUAAAUAACACAGAAAAAAAUAUUUAAUUUUCAAUGUGAUGUAAACUGUAGU